rnacentral:rRNA from 1 species
AUUGAACGCUGGCGGAAUGCUUUACACAUGCAAGUCGGGCGGCAGCGCGGGGGCAACCCUGGCGGCGAGCGGCGAACGGGUGAGUAACACAUCGGAACGUACCCUGUCGUGGGGGAUAACGAAUCGAAAGAUUCGCUAAUACCGCAUACGACCUGAGGGUGAAAGCGGGGGAUCGCAAGACCUCGCGCGAGAGGAGCGGCCGAUGGCGGAUUAGCUAGUUGGUGGGGUAAAGGCCCACCAAGGCGACGAUCCGUAGCGGGUCUGAGAGGACGGCCCGCCACACUGGGACUGAGACACGGCCCAGACUCCUACGGGAGGCAGCAGUGGGGAAUUUUGGACAAUGGGGGGCAACCCUGAUCCAGCCAUUCCGCGUGAGUGAAGAAGGCCUCGGUGUAAGCUCUUGCAGACGAACGCGGCUCGUAACAUAGCCUGUCAAUGACGGUACCUGAAGAAGAAGACACCGGCUAAC